AACGUAGGAGACAAACGUUAUCCGGAGUUACUGGGCGUAAAGAGCGUGUAGGCGGCCUGGUAGGUCAGCUGUGAAAACUCGAGGCUCAACCUCGAGACGCCGGUUGAAACCAUCAGGCUAGAGUCCGGAAGAGGAGAGUGGAAUUCCCGGUGUAGCGGUGAAAUGCGCAGAUAUCGGGAAGAACACCCGUGGCUAAGGCGGCUCUCUAGUACGGUACUGACGCUGAGACGCGAAAGCGUGGGGAGCGAACAGG
rnacentral:rRNA from 1 species